rnacentral:lncRNA from 1 species
GUAUAUAUAUUUGAUUUUGUUUUACAGGAUGCAAUGUUACUGCAAUAAAAGUGCAAUAAUCCUAACAGUCUAAAAGUGUAAUAAUCCUAUGUAAUCCUAACAUGCAAGUGAUAUACUAUAGUUCUUGACUUAUGAUGAAGUUUAGAAAACCAAACCGCAUCAUAAGUCAAAAACUAUAGUAUAUCACUAAGUCAAGAACUAUAGUAUUUUGAACCCCACUUUCAUAAGUCAGAACAGUUCAUAAAUCAUAAAUGCCCAAAAUUUAUGAAUUUCUUACUAUUAAUAUUUUCUAGAAUACUUUAAAUUAUCUUAAUAAGCAGUCCGGAAGCACGCAGAACAGAACACCCAUAUAGCUAAUAUGCUAGCUGAUGAUAUGCUGGGCCUUACCUUAAGAGUUGAACAAACUAGUACUAAGGCAUUUCAUUUUCUCGAUGUCCAGGUAGAAACCUAACAAGGUGAAUACUUUACCACCAUAUAUAAAAACCCACAUAUGUACCAAUCCUCAUACCUGCAUGGUCCCAUGACCAUAUGCCAUAUAAAUUUGCUGCCUUUAAAGUCAUGUUUAGAAGAAUAUCCACCCAUAUCACCAAAUGGCAAGAUAAAUAUAAAGAGCUCAAGUAUAUUUACUCACAAGGACAUAAAUUUGGCUACACUACCAAGGUCAUGGAAGGCAUAUGGAAAAGAGUAUGUAAAUACAUAGAAAUGCUACAUAGGCUGAAAAUUCAGGACCAGCGAGAUGUUGACUCUUGCACAUUCUUGCAAAUUACAUAUUAUAAAAGCACAGAUAAAAUUCUAAGCAAAGCCAUGAAAGGAAAAACAUGAAGAAUAGCUAGAAAAAGAGGCCCCACAUUGACAUCCUACGUAACAAUGAAAACUCUGUGACAGAAAAUAGAAAAGUGGAUAUAUACUCAAUCCCUAUUUAUAGCAAUAAUGAUGAACAUUCACAAUAUUAUAUUGGAAGCAUUAAGAGAAGUCUUGGUAAAAGAGUAAAAGAACAUAAGGCGAACAUACAAGCAGGGAUGCUAAAUACGGCUAUAGCCACAAUGGCAUAUGAACACAAUGUAACGAUUAAAUGGGAAGAAACGCAUAUAAUAAAACUGUUAUGGGACACUAUGGGCAUUAUCACCAUAGAGGCCAUAGAGAUUGAAAAAAGGAAAUAUAUAUAACUAAGAAAAAAUUAAGCAUUUUCAGCGGGCAUAACAACAUUUAUUUGAGUGAAACAUUUUCGGACAUCGUACUGAUGAGG